UUUUAAUUAGUGACUAGAAGCAAGAGUUGGCAGACAUGCAGAAUUGCUGUCACAUUAUGAUUUCCAAUUUUAAAAUCACUGAGUAAAACAAAGCAGAGAAGGUGUAAAGAACAUAUAAAACAUGUUGUAACUGGUUAGAUGAAACCUGUAAUUUGUAGAAGGCCCCAGGUAAUAAAGACGAGCAGACGAUAGACAGGCAGCAGCUCUAUAUUCCUGGGUUAAAAUAAUACCACAAUUCAAUGGGGGGGGAGGGGUGUCCAAAG